rnacentral:rRNA from 1 species
UGUUACGGCCAUACCAGCCUGAAUACGCCCGAUCUCGUCUGAUCUCGGAAGCUAAGCAGGGUCGGGCCUGGUUAGUACUUGGAUGGGAGACCGCCUGGGAAUACCAGGUGCUGUAAGCA